CUCUGGUGCCAGCAGCCGCGGUAAUUCCAGCUCUCAAAAUGCAUAGAAUCAUUGCUGCGGUUAAAAAGCUCGUAGUUGGAUCUGUGCUGGCGGGUCGGUCCACCUUCGGGUGCGCACUGAUUUCGCCGGCUUUCCUGCUGUAUUUGGCCCUGUGCCUUUCAACGGGUGCAGUGUCCAGUGCAGCAAGUUUACCUUGAACAAAUCAGAGUGCUUCAAACAGGCGUUUCGCUUGAAUGUUCGUGCAUGGAAUAAUAGAAGAGGAUCUCGGUUCUAUUUUAUUGGUUUUAUAGACUGAGAUAAUGGUUAACAGAGACUAACGGGGGCAUUAGUAUUGCUACGUGAGAGGUGAAAUUCUUGGACCGUAGCAAGACUGACUACAGCGAAAGCAUUUGCCAAGAAAGUCUUCAUUAAUCAAGAACGAAAGUCAGAGGUUCGAAGGCGAUCAGAUACCGCCCUAGUUCUGACCGUAAACGAUGCCAACUAGUGAUCCGCCGGUGGAACAUUCGCCCUGGUGGGGAACUUCCCGGAAACGAAAGUCUUCCGGUUCCGGGGGAAGUAUGGUUGCAAAGCUGAAACUUAAAGGAAUUGACGGAAGGGCACCACCAGGAGUGGAGCCUGCGGCUUAAUUUGACCCAACACGGGAAAACUCACCCGGCCCGGACACCGUAAGGAUUGACAGAUUGAUAGCUCUUUCAUGAUUCGGUGGAUGGUGGUGCAUGGCCGUUCUUAGUUCGUGGAGCGAUUUGUCUGGUUUAUUCCGAUAACGAGCGAGACUCUGGCCUACUAAAUAGUUUACACAUUGCUUCUGUGUGCAUAACUUCUUAGAGGGAUUUUCGGUGUUCAGCCGCAAGAAAUUGAGCAAUAACAGGUCUGUGAUGCCCUUAGAUGUCCGGGGCUGCACGCGCGCUACACUGGCAAAAUCAGCGUGCUUGUCCUUCCCCGAAAGGGGUUGGUAAACUCGUGAAAAUUUGCCGUGAUUGGGAUCGGAAAUUGCAAUUAUUUUCCGUGAACGAGGAAUUCCAAGUAAGUGCGAGUCAUCAACUCGCGUUGAUUACGUCCCUGCCCUUUGUACACACCGCCCGUCGCUGCCCGGGACUGAGCCGUUUCGAGAAACUUGGAGACCGCUGAUCUGGUAACUUCGAUUGCCAUUUUGGUGGGAACCAAUUUAA
rnacentral:rRNA from 1 species